rnacentral:rRNA from 1 species
CCUACGGGGGGCAGCAGUGGGGAAUAUUGCACAAUGGGGGAAACCCUGAUGCAGCGACGCCGCGUGAGGGAAGAAGGAUUUCGGAAUGUAAAGCCCUAUCAGCAGGGAAGAAAAUGACGGUACCUGAUGAAGAAGCCCCGGCUAACUACGUGCCAGCAGCCGCGGUAAUACGUAGGGGGCAAGCGUUAUCCGGAUUUACUGGGUGUAAAGGGAGCGUAGACGGCAGCGCAAGUCUGAAGUGAAAUGCCGGGGCUUAACCCCGGAACUGCUUUGGAAACUGUGCAGCUAGAGUGCAGGAGAGGUAGGUGGAAUUCCUGGUGUAGCGGUGAAAUGCGUAGAUAUUAGGAGGAACACCAGUGGCGAAGGCGGCUUACUGGACUGUAACUGACGUUGAGGCUCGAAAGCGUGGGGAGCAAACAGGAUUAGAUACCCUAGUAGUC